UCACUUACCUGGAUGGGGUCAAUGGGCGAUCAAGAAGGUCCAUGGCCUAGGUUGGUGACCUCCAUUGCACUCAGGAGGGGUGCCCGCCUAAGGUCGGCCCAAGUGGUCGAGCCUACAUCAUAAUUUGUGGUAGUGGGGGCUUGCGUUCGCGCAGCCCUUG
rnacentral:snRNA from 1 species